UAGACAUCUUGUCAAUGAUAACAUAUCAAACAAUCCUAACUGUUUCCAAUUCUUGUCUUUUCCCACGGUGAAAGAACACAUCUUUGCAACUUUCCAGAGGUCCUCUGGGAAAUCUCAAAGGCAAUUUUGGGCACUGAGGAGGCUGAGAAGACUGUGCUUGACUGUUAGCUGAAACAACUUUUGGCUGUUUGGCAGAGGACUAACAGGCCCUCUGCUUUAUGUGAAUUUCUCACUUUAACUUGUUUGCUCCAUUUUGGGUGCAGACCCAGCCCCAUGUGCCUGACCACAAACCAACAUUUCCUGUCUCAAUUCUCCUAUUCAUAUAACGUUUGAGGACGUUUGUUAAGUUUUAAGAAUUCCCUCCCACCCCCAGAUUUUCGCAGGGUUUUGUUGAUUUCCCCUCAACUUUCCACAGGUAUCUUAAAAGCUUUGCUCACUCAUCCCUUCUCUGACUUAGGAUUUGAGCAUCUUUCUGUUAUGCUGUUGCCCCACUCCUAUUGCAAUACUCCCCUUCUUAAGAAAGUUUUUCUAGACUAAUGUCUAGAUUAAACUUCUUUUCUUUGACAAUAAUGAUGCCAUGACUUGGACAAAAUGCCCAUUGCCUCUGGGUCCUGCUUUCUUCACCCAGUGCUGCCUUAUUGGACUCCUUGUGCCUCUCCUUGGCUGGGGAAAUCAGAAUACACAGUGAGCUUCAACUGAGAAUCUAGAAGAGAGUAGAUGGAAAAAUAUUUUUCCCUCCCCUCCAAAUGCAAGGAUAAUCUUACACGAGUCCAGGAGGAAGGCUCAUUCCACACUAAGUGUUCUGAAUCAAAAAGAUGAACAAAAUACAGUGCCAUUCUUCAAGGACUUCACAGUCUACAGGAAAGGGAUAUAGUUAAACAAAUAACUGCAGAAUUGGAAAUUGGAGCUGAUGUGCUUAGAAGUGUUUUGAACAAGGGGCAUGACUGUGACUCUCUCUGCUUUUGCAAGCUUCAGGAAAACCUUUACUCACAGUUGAAAAUACAGAGCCUCAGGGUGAAGCCCUAACUUCCCACAGCAGAUGGGGUCUAUGAGGAGGAAGAAGUAGACGCAUGGACCAGUCCUGUUAUGAAGACAAGUUUCAUGGUGCUACUCUGUCUCCAUGAGCUCCUAUGGCCCAGAAGCUGGCAUCCUGUGAGUGGGUAGGUUGAUGAUUAUGCCAACUAACCCUGCAGGGAUUCAUGCUGACUUUGAGAUCCACUCACACAUUAGUACAACUCCAUAGGUUGUAGGACAUUUUCCAGGCUGGAGCAAAUAAGUUAUUGCUUUCAGUAAAUCCCCUCCCUCCUUCCCUUCCUUUUAUCUUAGAUUUGGGAUGAUGGAGUGGGCUGAGUUUUAAGACUAUUCUCCGUCUGUUUAUAAUAUUCUCUGGGUGACCACGUCACCAGAAACCUCUUGCAGUAUUGAAGUCCAAAUCCAACACAACUCUGUCACCAAUCUAUAAGCUCCAUUUACCUCCAUAUUCCUAGUGAGUACAUCAUAACAUCAGAGAUACACAAAAGGCCGGGCGCAGUAGCUCACGCCUGUAAUCCCAGCACUUUGGGAGGCCGAGACGGGCAGAUCACGAGGUGAGGAGAUCGAGACCGUCCUGGCUAACACAGUGAAACCCCGUCUCUACUAAAAAUACAAAAAAUUAGCCGGGCGUGGUUGCAGGUGCCUGUAGUCCCAGCUACUCGGGAGGCUGAGGCAGGAGAAUGGCCUGAACCUGGGAGGCAGAGCUUGCAGUGAGCUGAGAUCGCGCCAGUGCACUCUAGCCUGGGCAACAGAGCGAGACUCUGUCUCAAAAAAAAAAAAGAGAUACACAAAAAUUACUUACAGAAAUAAUAGGAAUUAUUUUGUGAAGUCCAAAUAAUAUAUAUCAGGUUUUAUUCCAUGGUGUUAUGUUUACAAGCAAUUACUUGACUUGCAAAAUCUGCUUGAUAUGAAGUGUGUUGUAAUGGUUUUCUGCUGCUACUCCUCUGAAGUCCUGAGUGUUUCCACCAUCCAGGGGGAAACAGCUAAUAUCUAUCUGCCUGUUCUAAAACAUUACGUGCAAGUACAUACACACAUAAUCCCUUUCCAUCUUCUGAGAUUUAGCAAACGAUUACAUGUUGAACAAUUUAGCAGUCUAUUGAGUGACUUUUCAUUUGCUAUUAAAGUACGCAGAUAUAUGGUCCUAGGGAAUGCGCAUGGGCUUUCGUUGUAUAUCUUGGGACCUACAAUUUCUGGCAUGUUAGGCAAGUUACUUAACUCUGAGGUUCUAUAUUUUGAACUGUAAAGUGAAAAUGAUGAUAGUCAUUGAGUUGCAAGGAAAGAAAUUAUAAUGAAGUCAUGAGGGGUCAGGUUUCCUGAGUUCGAAUCCUUCUUUCACCACUGUAGUGGAUGCUGUAGUGCUCCACUCAGAUUCCAGAACUGAGAAACUCAUGCCCAUGGCUGCUGGAAUUAUGGGUUGUUGAUAUCUCACAGCCAAGUUUCUUCUCAGGAAAUGUCCUCUCUUGGUCAAAGAGAGCUGCUCUGUCUAAUGCUACACCCUUCUCCUGGGGACAGUCUGAAAGGCUUCAAAGUCUUGGCAUUCCUUCUUCAAUUCAGCCCUCCAGAAAUGCCUGGGAAGUCACCUGUAACCAGUCUGACCCAGUCUUGCUUCUCUGACCCCCUGACAGGUCCUGGUCCAGAAAACACCCCCAAUAAACUUUACACAAAUAAAUUUCCAAUUCCGAGUCCGCUUCCUGGAGUCUUGGUAGUUC
rnacentral:lncRNA from 1 species